rnacentral:snRNA from 1 species
GUUCUUGCUUCAGCAGCACAUAUACUAAAAUUGGAAUGAUACAGAGAAUAUUAGCAUGGCCCCUGCGCAAGGAUGACACGCAAAUUCGUGAAGCGUUCCAUAAAAAA